rnacentral:rRNA from 1 species
GUUUAAUUCGAAGCAACGCGAAGAACCUUACCAGGUCUUGACAUCCUUUGACCACUCUAGAGAUAGAGCUUUCCCUUCGGGGACAAAGUGACAGGUGGUGCAUGGUUGUCGUCAGCUCGUGUCGUGAGAUGUUGGGUUAAGUCCCGCAACGAGCGCAACCCUUAUUACUAGUUGCCAGCAUUUAGUUGGGCACUCUAGUGAGACUGCCGGUGACAAACCGGAGGAAGGUGGGGACGACGUCAAAUCAUCAUGCCCCUUAUGACCUGGGCUACACACGUGCUACAAUGGAUGGUACAACGAGUUGCGAGACCGCGAGGUUUAGCUAAUCUCUUAAAACCAUUCUCAGUUCGGAUUGUAGGCUGCAACUCGCCUACAUGAAGCCGGAAUCGCUAGUAAUCGCGGAUCAGCAUGCCGCGGUGAAUACGUUCCCGGGCCUUGUACACACCGCCCGUCACACCAUGAGAGUUUGUAACACCCAAAGCCGGUGAGGUAACCCUUCGGGGAGCCAGCCGUCUAAGGUGGGACAGAUGAUUAGGGUGAAGUCGAACCAAGGGGCCAAU